CAACUUUCAACAACGGAUCUCUUGGUUCUGGCAUCGAUGAAGAACGCAGCGAAAUGCGAUACGUACUGUGAAUUGCAGAAUUCAGUGAAUCAUCGAAUCUUUGAACGCACAUUGCGCCCUUUGGUAUUCCAAAGGGCAUGCCUGUUCGAGCGUCAUUU
rnacentral:rRNA from 1 species